ensembl:processed_transcript
ACUUAAUUACGAACACCUGACCUGCAGUGCAGCAGAAUUCAGAGGUAAGCGUGUUUUUAGAUGCUUUAAAGUUUUAUUUACCCCCCGAUUUUGUUUUACACACAUCUUAAAUGUGACUUGGUGUAGUGUUUCGAAUUUUGAAGCAUUUAAAACUUUCCAGUUUGUUUUUAGUCUUGUUUGCGCUCCGGUGACGCAGCUAACCUCGAGGUAAUGUCACAUGUUUAACGUUAGUCUAAAUGAGCGUUUUUAUGGCAAAUUCAAAGCGAUAAACUCCAAACGCAGUUUAAAGUUACUGAGCAACGUUAUAAAACAAUAUCCAUUUUAUACGCUGUAUUAUUAGUGUUAUUAUUACAAAGUGAACUGCUGUCGUUUCACUGUUGUUGUUGUUUUUGCUUUUAGACAUGUAACUUACUCCAGAGACUCACUAACUUGCACAGCAUUGAAUGGAAAAGGCUUUGUCCAUGUCCAGUUGAGGGGCAUCAAGAACACGCAGAUAGCCUACCUGGACAGACUGCAGUUCUGCUACUCCAUGCCAAGGCUUUUGUAUGGAUGUCUGACUACUACUGUGUUCUCUAAAGGUUUUCUGGAAGCUCCAGUUGAGGGCGUCAAGGACAAACCGAUGGCCUAAACAAGUGUCAGCCUGGACAGACAGACAGACAUCUAUUGCAGUUCUGCUACACAAGACCAAACUCUCUGCUUUUGUAUGGAUGUCUGACUAGUACGGUGUUCUCUGAAGGUAUUACUGGAGCAAAACGACAGCACCCGUUACAGUGAAAUUUGUGUUCAUUAAAGAUAGUGAUAUGUGUAACAGGUCCAGUAAAUUUGUCAUAAAGGUUAAAUCACAGUAAGUACUGUAAAAAUAACUUGUUUGCCUUUGCCACAACAGGUCAUGGUGUGUGCUUACUGCUUGUAGUAAACAC